AUUGAACGCUGGCGGCAGGCCUAACACAUGCAAGUCGAGCGGAUGAAGGGAGCUUGCUCCUGGAUUCAGCGGCGGACGGGUGAGUAAUGCCUAGGAAUCUGCCUGGUAGUGGGGGAUAACGUCCGGAAACGGGCGCUAAUACCGCAUACGUCCUGAGGGAGAAAGUGGGGGAUCUUCGGACCUCACGCUAUCAGAUGAGCCUAGGUCGGAUUAGCUAGUUGGUGGGGUAAAGGCCUACCAAGGCGACGAUCCGUAACUGGUCUGAGAGGAUGAUCAGUCACACUGGAACUGAGACACGGUCCAGACUCCUACGGGAGGCAGCAGUGGGGAAUAUUGGACGAUGGGCGAAAGCCUGAUCCAGCCAUGCCGCGUGUGUGAAGAAGGUCUUCUGAUUGUAAAGCACUUUAAGUUGGGGGGAAGGGCAGUAAGUUAAUACCGUGCUGUUCUGACGUUACCAACAGAAUAAGCACCGGCUAACUUCGUG
rnacentral:rRNA from 1 species